rnacentral:lncRNA from 1 species
AGUGUCAAUUCAGGUUUUAUUGCAGGUUUAGUGCCGUUUCUCACAGUGUGUCAGGUAGAGAUUUGAUGAAAGAUUCUCUGACCAGGCAUCGAGCCAGAACCAAAGCCGAUAAAAGAAAAAAUGAUGCUUUACAACAGGAACCUAAACAUUCAUGGAACUUCUUGGCAGUAAUUUUGGCAGUAAUUUUGGCAGAGGCAGAGUUACCCACUCUGAUGAAGUUGUAGCAGUUUCUAAUCAAGAAACUGCUAGUGAAAUAACUCCCAGUCUAAUGAAAGAAGUGGUGUACAGGAUAUCAUUCAUUCAGUCGCACUGGAAAAGACAUCAUUGAAGCAAGCAUUUCACAAGAAGAAAAAGGAACUAAUCAAGAAAGCGAGUGGAAAACUUGCAUGAAAGACAAGGAAGAUGCUUGGGAUUCCAAGAGAGAUGCUGUCUUUCAAAACUACAUUAGCUCCCGUUCCCACAGUGCAAGUAAAUGUGGUGUAUGUGAAAAAGUCACUAAUCCUGUUUGUUGCUUUACUUGCAAGCAAGGUUUCUGCAGCAAAUGUGAUAUGAUCACUCACCGCAAACUGUUGGUACUACACAAUAGGGAGGUGUUUGAGAAUGGCAAAAAUUUAAAAUUCUUGCGCCAAAACGAGUUCAUAUCUGAAGAUGGGUACAUCACUGUUGAAGUGUCCCUUCCUGAAUGCAAAAGCCCUCAUUCGUGUACUGCGAAACCUGGUUCAAGAGACGUAACCGUAGUUACAGCCAAUGGUAAAUGAGGGCAACUUCACGGAGGACAACCGAUUACCAGGAUUACAUCGACGAAGACACAAACAAUUAUCAACACUAGACGCUGAUGAAGAAAAUGAUGACAUCAAUUAAUAUCCAUAGUUCAAAACGCGCACAUAUAUUGUUAUGCAAAUCUUGGUAUAACAUAUGAAAUACAGCUAUUGUUUGAAGGGAAUAAAAUUAUUAUUACG